rnacentral:rRNA from 1 species
GAUGAACGCUAGCUACAGGCUUAACACAUGCAAGUCGAGGGGCAGCAGGGUAGCAAUACCGCUGACGACCGGCGCACGGGUGAGUAACACGUAUCCAACCUUCCCAUAACUCGGGGAUAGCCUUUCGAAAGAAAGAUUAAUACCUGAUAGUACUUAAGAAAGGCAUCUUUUUUAAGUUAAAGAUUUAUUGGUUAUGGAUGGGGAUGCGUUCCAUUAGAUAGUUGGUGAGGUAACGGCUCACCAAGUCUUCGAUGGAUAGGGGUUCUGAGAGGAAGGUCCCCCACAUUGGUACUGAGACACGGACCAAACUCCUACGGGAGGCAGCAGUGAGGAAUAUUGGUCAAUGGGCGAGAGCCUGAACCAGCCAAGUAGCGUGAAGGAUGAAGGUCCUAUGGAUUGUAAACUUCUUUUGUAGUAGAAUAAAGUGAACCACGUGUGGUUUUUUGUAUGUAUACUAUGAAUAAGGAUCGGCUAACUCCGUGCCAGCCGCCGCGGUAA